GACGAACGCUGGCGGCGUGCUUAACACAUGCAAGUCGAACGGAAAGGCCUCUUUCGGGGGGUACUCGAGUGGUGAACGGGUGAGUAACACGUGAGUAACCUGCCCUUGACUUUGGGAUAACUUCAGGAAACUGGGGCUAAUACCGGAUAGGAGCUCCUGCUGCAUGGUGGGGGUUGGAAAGUUUCGGCGGUUGGGGAUGGACUCGCGGCUUAUCAGCUUGUUGGUGGGGUAGUGGCUUACCAAGGCUUUGACGGGUAGCCGGCCUGAGAGGGUGACCGGCCACAUUGGGACUGAGAUACGGCCCAGACUCCUACGGGAGGCAGCAGUGGGGAAUAUUGCACAAUGGGUGGAAGCCUGAUGCAGCAACGCCGUGUGCGGGAUGACGGCCUUCGGGUUGUAAACCGCUUUCGCUCAUGACGAAGCUUUGUGUGACGGUAGUGGGUAAAGAAGCACCGGCUAACUACGUG
rnacentral:rRNA from 1 species